UUCCAAGAAUGAGAAUCGAACCCACAAUGUUCCGCUUACCGGGCAGAUGCCAUGUCCACUAGGCUAUCCUGGA
rnacentral:tRNA from 1 species